rnacentral:rRNA from 1 species
AACGAACGCUGGCGGCAUGCCUAACACAUGCAAGUCGAACGAGACCUUCGGGUCUAGUGGCGCACGGGUACGUAACGCGUGGGAACCUGCCCUUAGGUUCGGAAUAACUCCCCGAAAGGGGUGCUAAUACCGGAUAAUGUCUUCGGACCAAAGAUUUAUCGCCUUUGGAUGGGCCCGCGUUGGAUUAGCUAGUUGGUAGGGUAAAAGCCUACCAAGGCGACGAUCCAUAGCUGGUCUGAGAGGAUGAUCAGCCACACUGGGACUGAGACACGGCCCAGACUCCUACGGGAGGCAGCAGUGGGGAAUAUUGGACAAUGGGCGAAAGCCUGAUCCAGCAAUGCCGCGUGAGUGAUGAAGGCCUUAGGGUUGUAAAGCUCUUUUACCCGGGAUGAUAAUGACAGUACCGGGAGAAUAAGCGCCGGCUAACUCCGUG